GACGAACGCUGGCGGCGUGCUUUACACAUGCAAGUCGAACGGAAGGGCCCGGCUUAUGUUGGGGGCGCGAGGGGCGAGCGGGUGAGUAACACGUGAGUAACCUGCCCUGGACUUUGGGAUAACUUCAGGAAACUGGUGCUAAUACCUGAUAGGUGCUCCUGCUGCAUGGGGGGGGUUGGAAAGUUUCGGCGGUUGGGGGUGGACUCGCGGCUUGUCAGCUUGUGGGUGGGGGAGUGGCUUACCAAGGCUUUGACGGGUAGCCGGCCUGAGAGGGUGACCGGCCACAUUGGGACUGAGAUACGGCCCAGGCUGCUACGGGAGGCAGCAGUGGGGAAUACUGCACAAUGGGCGGCAGCCUGAUGCAGCAACGCCGCGUGCGGGAUGACGGCCUUCGGGUUGUAAACCGCUUUCGCCUGUGACGAAGCGUGAGAGACGGUAAUGGGUAAAGAAGCACCGGCUAACUACGUG
rnacentral:rRNA from 1 species